AACGAACGCUGGCGGCAUGCCUAACACAUGCAAGUCGAACGGAAGCACGGACUUCGGUCUGGUGGCGAGUGGCGAACGGGUGAGUAAUGUAUCGGAACGUGCCCAGUCGUGGGGGAUAACGUAGUGAAAAUUACGCUAAUACCGCAUACGAUCUAUGGAUGAAAGCGGGGGAUCGCAAGAACUCGCGCGAUUGGAGCGGACGAUAUCAGAUUAGGUAGUUGGUGGGGUAAAGGCCCACCAAGCCAACGAUCUGUAGCAGGAUUGAGAGGACGACCAGCCACAAUGGAACUGAGACACGGUCCAGACUCCUACGGGAGGCAGCAGUGGGGAAUUUUGGACAAUGGGCGAAAGCCUGAUCCAGCCAUUCCGCGUGCAGGAUGAAGGCCCUCGGGUUGUAAACUGCUUUUGUACAGAACGAAAAGGUUUCUACUAAUACUAGGAGCUCAUGACGGUACUGUAAGAAUAAGCACCGGCUAACUACGUGCCAGCAGCCGCGGUAA
rnacentral:rRNA from 1 species